CGUGAGUAACCUGCCUUGGAGUGGGGAAUAACAGCUGGAAACAGCUGCUAAUACCGCAUAAUAUGUCUGUGUCGCAUGGCACUGGACAUCAAAGAUUUAUCGCUCUGAGAUGGACUCGCGUCUGAUUAGCUAGUUGGCGGGGUAACGGCCCACCAAGGCGACGAUCAGUAGCCGGACUGAGAGGUUGGCCGGCCACAUUGGGACUGAGACACGGCCCAGACUCCUACGGGAGGCAGCAG
rnacentral:rRNA from 1 species